GCUGCCCCGUCCUGGUGCAGAUGGUGGCUGUGAUGCUCUGUCCUGGUGCAGAUGGUGGAUGUGAUGCUCUGUCCUGGUGCAGAUGGUGGAUGUGAUGCCCUAUCCUGAUGUAGAUGCUGGCUGUGCUGACCCGUCCUGGUGUAGGUGGUAGCUGUGAUGCCCCAUCCUGGUGCAGAUGGUGAUGUGAUGCUCUGUCCUGGUGCAGGUUGUGGCUGUGAUGCCCUGUCCUGGUGCAGAUGGUGGCUGUGCUGCCCCAUCCUGGUGCAGGUGGUAGAUGUGAUGCCCCAUCCCCAGAGCAGCUCUCUGGGUGCUGCUCUGGAGGAACUGGGUGCAACCUCAGCCUGCUGGUCCUUUCAGCAGCAGCUCUACCCCAGGGCAUGGGGCCCCUUCCCAGUGCUCCUCUUUGCACCCACCUGGCAGCGAUCCUCUGGCAGCACCCUGCGCCUCCCUUUAGUUCUGCUUGCAGUGGUUCUGCCUCCAUCCAAACCCCCCCAGUGCUGCACAAGGAGCUCUGGAGCACUGGGACGGGGUCCAGCUCAUGCCCUGCAGUGCGUGGCCAUGGGGCAGAGCUGGGGCACACACAUCUCCUGCAGAUCAGCACCGCCAGGUCCCUGCUGCUGGCACGGCCAGUGCUGCCACUCCUGCCACCUCCCCCAGGAAUGCAGCACCUGUGCUGGAGUGCAGCCACCUGCAUUCUCCUGUGACCUGCCCUGGCACUGGUAUGCCAGGAGAUAUCUGCCUGCCCUCAAAGGAGCUCUGUUUUGCUCCCAUGUUGGUACUUGUGAGCUUUCCCUUGGCCUGGAGACAUUGCUGCUGCUGCCGUGGAGGUGCCAGCUGCUAUUAUCCCUGUUUCCUUUCCUCUGCUCCAUAGCAGAAUGUUUGCAAGACUGCUGCUUGCACCAGAACUGAGCGCUCCCUGUGAUGUGUGUGGUGGAGGUGUGGGUUUGAAGCCCAGCAAGGCACGAGCUGUGCAGGGCUCUCAUUUGGAGCUCUGCUUCGUUCCCUGAGUGUGGCUCCAGGCUGUGCCCAGAGCAUCCCCAGGGCUGCAGCCCCAAUCUGGGCAGGGCUGUGCUGUGCAGGAGGACAUUGCGUCAGCUGCUCAGCCUGCAGAGUGGAGUUGGAGUGUGGGUCUGAUUGCUGCCUGUGAUACUCAUACAAACAAAGGAGGGGAGAGGAUCUGUGCCGGCCAGCAGAUAAUGCUGUCACAUGGAUAGGGGAAACAAGCCGUGAAUGUGUGGGCUAGAAAUUAGGCCAUUGUGCUCCAUGAUAUCAGAGAAGGAUCUGAAACAGCUUUCCAGGAAGAGGAAAGAGGAUGAGAGAAGGCCCAGAGGACAGAGCUUGGAAAAAUGACUUCAGAAGUGGCCCCUGGCUGCAGCAGCCCUGGCCCUGAGGACAGGGAGAGCAGCCCCACAACCCCAUUGUGGAGUUGGGCUUUCACCCCAUGCCAGGAGCCCUGUGUCCCACUUCCCCCUUCCUGCCCUUCCAUGCCUUGGGCCGCUUGUUUUCUUCAAGCCCUUUCCUCAUGCGCUGCCCUGGGUCCCACUGCCAUGGAUCCCAGCACCAUAGGUCCCAUCAUCCUUCUUCCUACCACCAUGGAUCCCAAUGCCACAGGUCCUACCUCACUGUGCCCCACCACUCUGUGCCCCACCACUCUAUGUCCCAUCACUCUGGAUCCCACUGCCAUGGGUCCCAUCACCAUAGGUCCCAUCACUCUGGAUCCCACCACUCUGGAUCCCAUCACCCUUCUUCCCACCACCGUGAGUCCCAUUGCCAGGGGUCCUACCUCACUGUGCCCCACCACUCUAUGUCCUGUCACUCUGGAUCCCAUCACCCUGGGUCCCAUCACCCUUCUUCCCACCACGCUGGGUCCCAUCACCCUGGGACAUGAUCAGUGGGCACUGUGGGGGCAAGGUUGGGUGAUCUUAGAGGUCUUGUCCAACUGGAAUGAUUCCAUGAUUCAAUGAUUCCGUGACAUUGGGAGUGAUGAAGAGAGGCUGUAAUUAGGGGACAGAAGAGGUGGCUGCAGCAGCACUGCACCACCUCUCAUUGCAAUGGGUGUUGGGGUGUCCCAGUGGGUGGCUCUACGUGGGCUGUCACUUUGGUGCCAUGUGUGCCCUACUGCUGAGCAGUGAUUUCCUUUGGCAGAAGCGUUACUGAUCUGUCCCUGUCACUAUAAAAUCUCCCUGGGAGAUUUUAUGACUCUCUUUGAUGGCUUUUUACCCAUUUUUCCCGGCGUUGGGAUAAGACUCAUUGGAUUAUAAUUUCUGAGAUUUUGAGUCUUUUUUCAAGAUAAGUGAUUUUUUUUUCCCCCUUCAGCAGAGAAGUUGAUUUAAUAAGAGAAAAU
ensembl:lncRNA